UUAAUUAAAAGAAAGUAAAUUAUAUUUCACGAAGUUGGGGGAGCUAGCUACCAUAUAUUUUUAGAUUAAAAAGUGUUGCAGAACCAAUUAAAUUGUAGCUAGGAGUGAUAGGCUUACCACACCCAACGAUAUCUUGUUGAUUUUUAAAUGUAUUAGUACAUAGACACUCUUAAAGUGAUAAGGCUUUAGGAGGCUUAUCAAUUUUUUAUAAAUUAACAUAUAUUGCUUAAUCGUUAAUAUAAUAUUAAUAUAAUAUUGAUGUAAUUUAAUUGUUUAUCGUAGAAAUCUAUAAUUAAAUUAAGAAGAUGUAACUAAUGUUAAUAUUAGUAACGUAAGAUAUUAAUAAUGAACUCGGCAAGAAGUCUUUCAACUGUUUAUCAAAAACAUAGCUAUUUGAAUUAAUAAAUAGUAUUUUCUGCUCAAUGAGUAUUUAAAUAGCCGCAGUACCCUGACUGUGCUAAGGUAGCGCAAUCAAUUGACUUUUAAAUGAAGUCCUGUAUGAAAGAAACUAUGGAGGGCUACUCUCUCAUUAAUAGAAAAUGAAUUUACUUAGGGAGUGUAAAUUCUUCUGUUCAAAUAAUAGACGAGAAGACCCUAGAAAUUUUAAGAAGGAACUUUUUGUUGGGGCAACAAAGUAGCAAAAGUAAUCUACUAUUAUUACUAGAAAAAAAUAGUUGGCAAGAUAAAAUUACUCUAGGGAUAACAGCAUAAUUUGGAAAAGUUUGUGACCUCGAUGUUGGAUUAGGGAAUUUUUGUUUAGAAG
rnacentral:rRNA from 1 species